GUAAGCUUGUGGUGUUUCUCUGGGAUGGAUAUAGUUGGAAUGGGUCCCUGAAGAGAUUAAGGGUAGGACUGGUACUAUUUAGCUGCUUAUCAAUUAUUUAAAAAUAAACUUUGAAAACCCAAAGAUCAGUGCAAUGAUAACACUAGGCAGCAACUAUGUUGAACAUUUAGUGACCUAUGGCAUACUGAGGGACCUUGACAUGCUUGAGAGGUGGGCCAAUGCCAACCUUGUGAAAUUCAACAAUGCGAAGUGCAAGGUCCUGCACCUUUGUCGGAGCAAUCCCAGGCACAGCUACAGGUUGAGCAGAGAAGAGAUUCAGAGCAGCCUUGUGGAGAAGGACUUGAGGGUGGUGGUCAAUGGAAAACUGAACAUGAGCUGGCUUCAGUGUGUGCUUGCAGCCCAGAAAGCUAAGCAUGUUCCAGGCUGCAUCAAAAGGAGCGUGACCAGCAGGUCAAAGGAGGUGAUCCUGCCCCUCUACUCUGCUCUCGUGAGCCCUCACCUGGAGUAUUGUGUGCAGUUCUGGUGUCCUCAACAUAAAAAGGACAUGGAACUGUUGGAACAAGUCCAGAGGAGGGCCAUGAGGAUGAUCAGGGGACUGGAACACCUCCCGUAUGAAGACAGGCUGAGAAAGUUGGGGCUGUUCAGCCUGGAGAGGAGAAGGCUGCAUGGAGACCUCAUACAGAAGGCAGCAUUCCAGUAUUUGAACAUGGCCUACAAGGAUGCUGGUGAGGGACUAUUCAUUAGGGACUGUAGUGACAGAACAAGGGGUAGUGGGCUAAAACUUAAACAGGGGAGGUUUACAUUGGAUAUAAGGAAGAAAUUCUUUACUGUGAGGGUGAUGAGGUACUGGAAUACCAUAGAAGGCCACCAAAUUGGUCAGGCAGGAUUUCCCCUUAGUGAAGCCAUGCUGGCUGUCACCAAGCACCUUGCUGUUUUUCAUGUGCCUUAGCAUGUCUUCCAGGAGAAUCUGCUUCCAGAUUUUGCCAGGCACAGAGGUGAGACUGACUGGUCUGUAAUUCCCUGGGUCAUCCAUUUUCCCCUUCUUGAAAAUGGGGGUUAUAUUUCCCUUUUUCCAGUCAUCGGGAACUUCACCUGACUGCCAU
rnacentral:lncRNA from 14 species